rnacentral:tRNA from 1 species
CGUUCGGUAGCUCAGUGGCAGAGCAGUCGGCUCUGGGACCGACCGGACGCUGGUUCGAGCCCAGCCCGAACGG